rnacentral:rRNA from 1 species
UGGGGAAUAUUGCACAAUGGACGAAAGUCUGAUGCAGCAACGCCGCGUGGAGGAUGACACAUUUCGGUGCGUAAACUCCUUUUAUAUAAGAAGAUAAUGACGGUAUUAUAUGAAUAAGCACCGGCUAACUCCGUGCCAGCAGCCGCGGUAAUACGGAGGGUGCAAGCGUUACUCGGAAUCACUGGGCGUAAAGAGCGUGUAGGCGGAUUGAUAAGUUUGAAGUGAAAUCCUAUAGCUUAACUAUAGAACUGCUUUGAAAACUGUUAAUCUAGAAUGUGGGAGAGGUAGAUGGAAUUUCUGGUGUAGGGGUAAAAUCCGUAGAGAUCAGAAGGAAUACCGAUUGCGAAGGCGAUCUACUGGAACAAUAUUGACGCUGAGACGCGAAAGCGUGGGGAGCAAA